rnacentral:rRNA from 1 species
UACGUAGGGGGCAAGCGUUGUCCGGAAUCAUUGGGCGUAAAGAGCGUGUAGGCGGCCAGAAAAGUCCGCUGUGAAAACUCGAGGCUCAACUUCGAGCUGUCGGUGGAAACUUUCUGGCUAGAGUCCGGAAGAGGAGAAUGGAAUUCCUGGUGUAGCGGUGAAAUGCGCAGAUAUCAGGAAGAACACCGAUGGCGAAGGCAGGUCUCUGGGCAUUAACUGACGCUGAGGAGCGAAAGCAUGGGGAGCGAACAGG